AAGGCAUGGUGAGGGAACUUUCUAAGCAUCUCCUUGAAUAUAUCCUAACUCUCAUAAAUAGAUUAUCUUUCUAACUGAUUAAAACAAGUAAUAUCAUUUCUAAGUUU